rnacentral:rRNA from 1 species
GACGAACGCUGGCGGCGUGCUUAACACAUGCAAGUCGAACGGAAAGGCCCUGCUUUUGUGGGGUGCUCGAGUGGCGAACGGGUGAGUAACACGUGAGUAACCUGCCCUUGACUUUGGGAUAACUUCAGGAAACUGGGGCUAAUACCGGAUAGGAGCUCCUGCUGCAUGGUGGGGGUUGGAAAGUUUCGGCGGUUGGGGAUGGACUCGCGGCUUAUCAGCUUGUUGGUGGGGUAGUGGCUUACCAAGGCUUUGACGGGUAGCCGGCCUGAGAGGGUGACCGGCCACAUUGGGACUGAGAUACGGCCCAGACUCCUACGGGAGGCAGCAGCGGGGAAUAUUGCACAAUGGGCGGAAGCCUGAUGCAGCAACGCCGCGUGCGGGAUGACGGCCUUCGGGUUGUAAACCGCUUUCGCCUGUGACGAAGCGUGAGUGACGGUAAUGGGUAAAGAAGUACCGGCUAACUACGUG